GGGCCUGUAGCUUAGCAUGGUGGAGCACUCGGCUGAUAACCGAGAGGUCCCCGGUUCGAAUCCGGGCUGGCCCA
rnacentral:tRNA from 1 species